GGACUACUGGGGUAUCUAAUCCUGUUUGCUACCCACGCUUUCGUGUUUCAGCGUCAGUUACGGUCCAGAGAGCCGUCUACACCACCGGUGUUCCUCCUGAUAUCUACGCAUUUCACCGCUACACCAGGAAUUCCACUCUCCUCUCCCGCACUCGAGUCCGGCAGUUUCCGGCGCACCCUCCCAGUUGAGCCGGGAGAUUUCACACCAGACUUACCAAACCGCCUACACACCCUUUACGCCCAGUAACUCCGAACAACGCUUGCUGCCUACGUAUUACCGCGGCUGCUGGCAC
rnacentral:rRNA from 1 species